CUACGAAGGGGGCUAGCGUUGUUCGGAUUUACUGGGCGUAAAGCGCACGUAGGCGGAUUGAUUAGUUAGGGGUGAAAUCCCGAGGCUCAACCUCGGAACUGCCUUUAAUACUGUCAAUCUCGAGACCGGAAGAGGUGAGUGGAACUCCUAGUGUAGAGGUGGAAUUCGUAGAUAUUAGGAAGAACACCAGUGGCGAAGGCGGCUCACUGGUCCGGUACUGACGCUGAGGUGCGAAAGCGUGGGGAGCGAACAGGAUUAGAAACCCUAGUAGUCC
rnacentral:rRNA from 1 species